CCUACGGGAGGCAGCAGUAAGGAAUAUUGGUCAAUGGACGAAAGUCUGAACCAGCCAUGCCGCGUGAAGGAUGAAGGUCCUCUGGAUUGUAAACUUCUUUUAUCUGGGACGAAAAAAGGGCUUUCUAGCUCACUUGACGGUACCAGAGGAAUAAGCACCGGCUAACUCCGUGCCAGCAGCCGCGGUAAUACGGAGGGUGCAAGCGUUAUCCGGAUUUACUGGGUUUAAAGGGAGCGUAGGUGGGCAGGUAAGUCAGUGGUGAAAUCUCUGGGCUUAACCCGGAAACUGCCAUUGAUACUAUCUGUCUUGAAUAUCCUGGAGGUAAGCGGAAUAUGUCAUGUAGCGGUGAAAUGCUUAGAUAUGACAUAGAACACCCAUUGCGAAGGCAGCUUACUACGGGAUUAUUGACACUGAGGCUCGAAAGCGUGGGGAUCAAACAGGAUUAGAUACCCUGGCAGUCCACGCCCUAAACGAUGGAUACUCGACAUCAGCGAUACACUGUUGGUGUCUGAGCGAAAGCAUUAAGUAUCCCACCUGGGAAGUACGACCGCAAGGUUGAAACUCGAAAUGAAUUGACGG
rnacentral:rRNA from 1 species